rnacentral:rRNA from 1 species
GUGAGGAAUAUUGGUCAAUGGACGAAAGUCUGAACCAGCCAAGUAGCGUGCAGGAUGACGGCCCUAUGGGUUGUAAACUGCUUUUAUACAGGGAUAAAGUCAGUUACGUGUAACUGUUUGUAGGUACUGUAUGAAUAAGGACCGGCUAAUUCCGUGCCAGCAGCCGCGGUAAUACGGAAGGUCCAGGCGUUAUCCGGAUUUAUUGGGUUUAAAGGGAGCGCAGGCUGAUGAUUAAGCGUGACGUGAAAUGUAGCCGCUCAACGGCUGAACUGCGUCGCGAACUGGUUAUCUUGAGUGAGUUCGAUGUUGGCGGAAUUCGUGGUGUAGCGGUGAAAUGCUUAGAUAUCACGAAGAACUCCGAUUGCGAAGGCAGCCAACAAGGCCUUUACUGACGCUAAAGCUCGAAGGUGCGGGUAUCGAACAGG